UACGUAGGGUGCAAGCGUUGUCCGGAUUUAUUGGGCGUAAAGAGCUCGUAGGCGGCCUGUCGCGUCGACCGUGAAAACCCGCAGCUCAACUGCGGGCUUGCGGUCGAUACGGGCAGGCUGGAGUUCGGUAGGGGAGACUGGAAUUCCUGGUGUAGCGGUGAAAUGCGCAGAUAUCAGGAGGAACACCGGUGGCGAAGGCGGGUCUCUGGGCCGAUACUGACGCUGAGGAGCGAAAGCGUGGGGAGCGAACAGG
rnacentral:rRNA from 1 species